GGAAUUCGAUUACCGCUCAGUAACACGUGGCUAACCUGCCCUUGGGACGAGAACAACCCCGGGAAACUGGGGCUAACUCUCGAUAGGCGAAGAACUCUGGAAUGAGUCUUCACCCAAACAGUUUAAGGUUAUGCUCUUUAAACUGCCCAAGGAUGGGGCCGCGACCGAUCAGGUUGUUGGUGAGGUAAUGGCUCACCAAGCCUUUUACCGGUGCGGGCCGUGGGAGCGGGAGCCCGGAGAUGGGCACUGAGACAAGGGCCCAGGCCCUACGGGGCGCAGCAGUCGCGAAAACUUUGCAAUAAGCGAAAGCUUGACAGGGCUAUCCCGAGUGCCAUCCGCUGAGGAAGGCUUUUACCCAGUCUAGAACGCUGGGGGAAUAAGGAGAGGGCAAGUCUGGUGUCAGCCGCCGCGGUAAUACCAGCUCUCCGAGUGGUGUGGAUGUUUAUUGGGCCUAAAGCAUCCGUAGCUGGCUAGGUUAGUCCCCUGUUAAAUCCACCGAAUUAAUCGUUGGAUUGCGGGGGAUACUGCUUGGCUAGGGGACGAGAGAGGCAGACGGUAUUUCCGGGGUAGGGGUGAAAUCCUAUAAUCCCGGGAAGACCACCAGUGGCGAAGGCUGUCUGCUAGAACGCGCCCGACGGUGAGGGAUGAAAGCUGGGGGAGCGAACCGGAUUAGAUACCCGGGUAGUCCCAGCUGUAAACGAUGCAGACUAGGUGUUUGAACGGCCACGUGCCGUUCUAGUGCCGCAGGGAAGCUGUUAAGUCUGCCGCCUGGGGAGUACGAUCGCAAGAUUGAAACUUAAAGGAA
rnacentral:rRNA from 1 species